AGCCGUGCGGUGAGCACAUAGCGAACUAUUCUUUCGCCUUUUACUAAAGAAUACCGUGUGCUCGCCGCUGAAAGCGGCAUACGCCAAUUUUUGGAGAGGUGUUCCUCUGUGAACGCCU